CCCCGUCCGCACGCGGGAAGCGGGUUCGAGCCUCCCGCCGGGUGGAAGCCGUGCGGGGCUCAGGGACCUGUGGGCUUACCGAGAUUAAGGACUCCGAUCAGGCCUGCAGUCCUGAUGGGGAAACUAAGGCUCAGAGGCAAAAUUCUUUGCCAGAGGAUGGGGAGCUCCAAGUUUGAAUCCAAGCAGGGUGUUGUGGGCUCCCAUGCCUCUCUCAGCCAGGUGCAUGCACCAGCCAUCCAGGCGUGGUCCUACCUGGGGGAACUGGAGCAGAGAUGCUGUACCAGGCUCCAUCCCGGACUGCCAGUCUAUCUGAGGGCUGGCAGAAAGUUUCCAGAAGCCUGUUAUCACUCCACUCUGGUUCCCCAGGACAUCACCAAGCUGCCCACUGGACCCCUAAUGGGUGGAGAACAGAGCAGGCAUCAGCACUAGAGCAGGGUGGGGUGCACAUGUGCGUCUCCCGACCCCCUCACCUCCACUGGGAAGUGACCAUCUGUCU